AUUGAACGCUGGCGGCAGGCCUAACACAUGCAAGUCGAACGAGUGGCGGACGGGUGAGUAAUUUCUGGGAAACUGCCUGAUGGAGGGGGAUAACUACUGGAAACGGUAGCUAAUACCGCAUACCAUCAGAUGUGCCCAGAUGGGCUUAGCUUGUUGGUGGGGGAACGGCUCACCAAGGCGACGAUCCCUAGCUGGUCUGAGAGGAUGACCAGCCACACUGGACAUGAAACACGGUCGCGACUCCUACGGGAAGAAGCAGUGGGGAAUAUUGCACAAUGGGAGCGAGCCUGAUGCAGCCAUGCCGGGUGUAUGAAGAAGGCCUUAGGGUUGUAAAGUACUUUCAGCGGGGAGGCGUUACCCGCAGAAGAAGCACCGGCUAACUCCGUGCCAGCCGCCGCGGUAAUUC
rnacentral:rRNA from 1 species